ensembl:lncRNA ZFAS1 ZNFX1 antisense RNA 1
CGUGCAGACAUCUACAACCUUCGAUCUCCUGACGAGUUUAUUGUUGGCCAAAACCAGGCUUUGAUUGAACCAGGAUGAAUGCGGGUGUUGGAAGUAGAAUAUAUAUAUACAUAUAAAAUUGGUAAGUGGUGCCAACACGUCUUCCCUGGCUGAGUAGACACAGGCUCUGGAGGGGGUAGUAGCUGCUUUUCAGUGUGGGUUUGUCACCCUACUUCUUGUACGACUCAAAUGUGGCCUUUGCAGCUGAUGAUACAGCUUCUUUCCCCAUCAGAUCGACCCUGUUGAUCUCUACACUAUUGGCCAGUUUUGUCUGAUGCAUUGGCCCCAGUAAUAACUCCUAUCUUUGUUUUCUGCUUAUCUUUAUCAGAGACUAUUGCUUGUUCAUGGGAACUGGGCUUUCUCUAUUUUUUCCAGCAUUCAGAUGGCUUCUUUUGACCUGUUAACUUUCUAUAGGUUGGGAGCCACGUGUACCAGUGUGUGUUGAUCUUGGCUUGAUUCAGUCUGCCUUGUAACAGGUGAGGUUUCUGCUUUCUAUCUGCCAAACCCCACCGCAAAAUUUGUCCAACUGGGCCUAACCUCAGGACCCAUUUCCAAGUUGGGUAUAAAACUGGGAGAAUAAGUCAUUAGGACUGACAUUGGCCUGUUGGUAUUACUAGGUCUUUGUUGGAAAUAAGAGCUUGGAGUUCCAAAGAAAACGAGCACUUGAACAAAAGAUUUCUCAGCAAGGCAAAU